rfam:Apaloderma vittatum contig41660, whole genome shotgun sequence.
GGCCAGUUAGCUCAGUCAGUUGAGUGUGGUGCUAACAAAGCCAAGGUCGUGGGUUCAAUUCCCAUUUGGUUC